AAUAAGUUCAUUUUUAGGUUUUGACGGUCUGUCUUAUUUAUUUUUUUAAUUAGUAUUUUGAUUGUUAUUAGAUGAUAAAACAUAAAUAGUAUUUUAUGCAUGACUUAUUUUAUUUAGAUUUUUUUUAUAAAUUUUUAAAAUAAGACGGAUGAUCAAACGUUCAACCAAAAACCCCUAAAUGAAUUUAUU
rfam:Oryza sativa (indica cultivar-group) chromosome 11, whole genome shotgun sequence.